UCUCCGUUGGUGAACCAGCGGAGGGAUCAUUACCGAGUUAUACAACUCCCAAACCCAUGUGAACUUACCUGUCGUUGCUUCGGCGGACCGCCCCGGGGCCCAUCGGCCGCGGAUCUACGGCGCCCGCCAGAGGCCUUCGAACCCUGAAUGUUAGUGUCGUCUGAGUACUAUAAAAUAGUUAAAACUUUCAACAACGGAUCUCUUGGUUCUG
rnacentral:misc_RNA from 1 species